ACGGAAGGCAGCAGUAGGGAAUAUUGCACAAUGGGGGGAAUCCUGAUGCAGCAACGCCACGUGUGGGAAGAAGCAUUUCGGUGUGUAAACCACUGUCGUGAGGGAAUAAUGCUUGAUUUCGGUCAAGUUGAAUGUACCUCGAAAGGAAGCACCGGCAAACUUCGUGCCAGCAGCCGCGGUAAUACGAGGGGUGCAAGCGUUGUUCGGAAUCACUGGGCGUAAAGGGAGCGUAGGCGGAGACGCAAGCAGUCUGUACAAGACCGGGGCCCAACCCCGGACCUGCAGACUGGACUGUGUCUCUUGGAUAGUUCAGGGGCAGGCGGAAGUCCUGGUGUAGCGGUGGAAUGCGUAGAGAUCAGGAAGAACACCGAUGGCGAAGGCAGCCUGCUGGGGACUCAUCGACGCUGAGGCUCGAAAGUGCGGGUAGCAAACAGGAUUAGAUACCCUGGUA
rnacentral:rRNA from 1 species